UACGAAGGGUGCAAGCGUUAAUCGGAAUUACUGGGCGUAAAGGGUGCGUAGGCGGUUGUUUAAGUCUGUCGUGAAAUCCCCGGGCUCAACCUGGGAAUGGCGAUGGAUACUGGGCAGCUAGAGUGUGUCAGAGGAUGGUGGAAUUCCCGGUGUAGCGGUGAAAUGCGUAGAGAUCGGGAGGAACACCAGUGGCGAAGGCGGCCAUCUGGGACAACACUGACGCUGAAGCACGAAAGCGCGGGGAGCAAACAGG
rnacentral:rRNA from 1 species